rnacentral:rRNA from 1 species
CCUACGGGAGGCUGCAGUAGGGAAUAUUGCUCAAUGGGGGAAACCCUGAACCAGCAACGCCGCGUGGAGGAUGAAGGUUCUAGGAUUGUAAACCCCUUUUGUUAGAGAAGUUUAUGACGGUAUCUAACGAAUAAGCACCGGCGAACUCCGUGCCAGCAGCCGCGGUACUACGGGGGGUGCAAGCGUUAUUCGGAAUCACUGGGCGUAAAGCGUGCGUAGGCGGGGUAAUAAGUCAGAUGUGAAAUCCUGUAGCUUAAAUACAGAACUGCAUUUGAAACUGUUACUCUGGAGUGUGGGAGAGGUAGGCGGAAGUCGUGGUGUAGGGGUGAAAUGCUUAGAGAUCAAGAAGAAUACUGAUUGCGAAGGCGGCCUGCUGGAACAUUACUGACGCUGAUGCACGAAAGCGUGGGGAGCAAACAGGAUUAGAUACCCCAGUAGUC